rnacentral:rRNA from 1 species
GAUGAACGCUAGCGGCAGGCUUAAUACAUGCAAGUCGAGGGGCAGCAGGUUUGUAGCAAUACAGAUGCUGGCGACCGGCAAACGGGUGCGGAACACGUACAGAACCUUCCUUUAAGUGGGGGAUAGCCCAGGGAAACUUGGAUUAAUACCCCGUAAUAUAUAGAAGUGGCAUCACUUUUAUAUUAUAGCUCCGGCGCUUAAAGAUGGCUGUGCGGCUGAUUAGGUAGUUGGCGGGGUAACGGCCCACCAAGCAUGCGAUCAGUAACUGGUGUGAGAGCACGACCAGUCACACGGGCACUGAGACACGGGCCCGACUCCUACGGGAGGCAGCAGUAAGGAAUAUUGGGCAAUGGACGCAAGUCUGACCCAGCCAUGCCGCGUGAAGGAUGAAGGUCCUCUGGAUUGUAAACUUCUUUUAUCUGGGACGAAAAAAGGUCUUUCUAGAUCGUCUGACGGUACCAGAGGAAUAAGCACCGGCUAACUCCGUGCCAGCAGCCGCAGUAAGAC